CCAUAAUAAUCUGUGCUACUUGUAUUAAAACAAGAAAGAAUGAGUUAAGAAGGUUCAAGGAAAGUUAAUCGAGUUAGUAAGAAUAUCGUUAUAUAUACAUGGUUUCCUUAAGUAUCCCAAGGCGACACGGUUACCUAAAGGGUGUGGAAUCGCGCUAUGAGUAUGUAUAUGAAGUAAUGCGAGUGACCUUUUAAAGUAUUUGAGAUUAUUAGUAAUGAUAUAGAGGGUGGACAAAAGAUAUGAAUAUACUUUUGCGAUUGGAGUUUCGUCAAAGCUUUGUGAGUUCUCUAGUUAUGUUUAAGGUUAUUGUGAGUCUCUGGACCCUUCAAGAUGUGUAUAUGGAUUUUUUUAUUGAUGUAUAUAAGUGUGUAUAUGUAUGCAUAAGAGGUUACAUAAGGUUGGAAGAGGAUUAGAAGUUAAACGAAAUGAAUCGGAACAACUUCAGUAAAAUUUCGGACCCGAUUUUAGUCUAUAUUGUAGGAGGCAUAUCUCCUUGAAUAUGAGGAGUUUUAAGGUGUUUCAAAAUCCUAAAAUGAAGUUCAUCGAGUCUAGUUUGUAAUGCAACAAACCGCUCGUCAAAAUGAUAUCGGGAUAAGGAGAUAUGGACGAUGCAAGUUGGGCUGGCAGGGCAGCAAGUUUGGACCCGACCCAAACACUCACAUUUCGGCCCAUGAGGCCCAUUAAACUCAAUAGAUAAGUCACCACUUUGCCCUAUAUCAUUUCACACGACCUAAAACAGAUCCAAAACCCUUAUUUUCUCUCCCAAACCCCCUUUCUAAUUGAGCCAUCAUAUAAGCUAAAUCCUAGACCCUUGACAUGAUAUUAGUUAAAGAGAAGUUGUAGCUUAAGUUUUUUUUUGUGUUGUUAAGCAAGCAGCUGGAAAGAGGAACAAGAUUCUUGAAGAUUCUGAUUGCUAAAGGUAAUUUCAACCUCCCACUCAUGUUAUCAAUUUGGAUUAAAGGUUUAAUAUGGUGUAUACGUGAAGGAAACGUUGAUAUACAAGCUAGAGAGAGAGAGAGCAUAAGCCAUGGCAUUCGGCCAUGGCUAGCAAAAUUGGAGCUCAAAUUUGUUGAUCCAAAAAUCAGAUUUUCUAGGUAUUUCAUCCCUUAGGAAGGUGAUAAUAACGUGGAGAAUUCAUUUGGAGCAACAAGAACAAGUAUUAGUGCAUUUCACAAAUUCUAGCUAAGUGGAAAAAGCCAACUUGUUAAGGUAAGAGUUGAUCAUUUUUCUAUGUGUUUGAUGAUGAAGUUGGACGUGUGGGGAAUAUGCAAAUGUAAAUUGUAUGUGUGAAAUUAUGUAUCUUGAUGUUGAAGCAUAGUUGUAACUUGGUAACAUGAAUUGCACGAAUGUUGGAAUGUUGUUGAAAUGUUGUUGAAUGCCGUAGGGGCUGUUUUUAAUUGAAAUUUGAUGGACUGAUUUGAAUUAAUAUUUUGGUUGUUGUAAUCAUAGAUUAUGUGAUGAGAAUGAAGGAAUUUAAUGGUUAGAGUUGGAGUUAAAAUUGUUGUGGGUUGUUGUAAGGAUUAUAGAGAUAAUAAUGUGAUUUACUUGCAUAUGGAUAGAUGAUGUGGUGUCGUGUGGCUGCUGUUGUAUUUCCCUGAAAUUUGCUGAAAAGAUGGCAUGAAAUAAGUCGUAAGAAGUGUAUAUGGGCUGCUUGGUGUGUUGUAAGUGUUCGUUAGAAUUUCGGGCAUCGUUAUGUUAUAGUUUAGGGGCUGUUUUCGGCCCAAUUUGGAGAAAUUGUUGGAUCGUUGGAAAUAUUAUGUGAAUUGUUUAGAAUGUUCUUGAAUGUUGUUAGUAUGGGUUUGGGUUAGUAUUUGGAUGUAUAGGCGUUGAUGUUGGCUUGAAGGUAAGCCGUUGAAUUAAAUAUUUGGAAAGUUGUCGAAUGAUGAAAAAGAGAGUAUUAAUGUAAUAUUGUCUUUCGGAUUGGUUAUUGGAGUUGCUAGGUUGGUUAUUGUGGUUGUUGUUGUUGAUUUUGAGCGAGUUAAAUUCUCGGGAUGGCCUAUUUACAGGGGAAGUGCUGCCGAAUUUUCUGUAGAAUUUAAUGUUAGUUUGGAAUGAAUGGCUUAAGUGCCUAUGUUUAAUAUUGGAUAUUCGUUGGCAUAUUUGUAGACCUUGGGGAGCCCGAGGCGUAGAUUGGAAUUUACUUUAGAUUGGCUAUCUUGGAGUGCGUACGAGGUAUGUAAAGCGCAACCCUUCUUUCUUUUGGCAUGCCUUAGUUUUCAAUAGGCUAUAUCACGAGCCUCGAGGAAAUUCCAAAUUCGAAAUCCGAGCACGUUAUGAUCCUUAUAUAUAUUUCUUGGCAUUCUUAUGUAUGUUGUGAUGAAGUAUGAACAAUUAUGUCUUCGAAAGCAUUGAUUUCCAAACUUUGUACAAAAAGUUGUUUUAAAGAAUUCCGUAACUACGAAAUGCCAUAUCUUUUGCAUAAAGGCUCGGAUUGCUCCAAUAUUUUCAUAAGAGUUUGCAUGAUGUAUAAUGAGUAUGUUUUCCAUGAGCGGGCCCGAUUCGGGUCGAUACCCGUUCGUGGGUCCCGCGACUUUUCUUUAUGUAAUUCGGACGACUUUUGAAAGAAUUUGGUAUGAUUAUCAUUUCGAAUUUCAAAUAUGAUCAUUUUACUUAUGUUUGAAUUUAUGAUAAUGAUUUUAUGCAUAUGACUACUCUAUUAACUACUAAACAAAAAUUGUUUUAAAUAGUUCAUUAAGUCUUAUAAAUUGUUUUGGCCCUCGGAACGACUUCAGAAAGGUAUGCUUCUGUAAUUCAUUAUGACAUCCGAAACUCACUUAUUAUGAUCCCGUCUGACUUCAUUGAAUUGGUUUGCCAUUGAUAUGCCUCAUCGAGUCUCUGAAAAUAUUUAUGAUAUUUUAACUGCAUUUAGUUUCUCACUACUCUAUUCGUGGAUGCCCCAAUGUUUCCCACACUGAGCCCGGGCCAGGAUAUGUUGUCAAGCGUAAUCCUCUGCAUUGUUCGCCGUGCCUCGAUGUGAGGGGGCAGGUAUACGUGUACAUGGGUUUGUGGAGUAUGCUGUGCCAUGUACACAUGUUCUGAUAUGAUUUGCCAUGGCCAUCUGAUAUGAUAUACUAUGUUACGGGGUUAUGCCCCUAUUCUGAUUCUUCUGUGUUGUGGCACCAGCGUCGGGAGGGUGGCCACGUUCUGUUUGCCGAGUCCCUUGGCAGGGGCCGGAUUUGAUAUGACAUAUGUUUCUGUACACACUCCGCAUGUUUUGAAGAUAUGUAUUUGAUACUUUGGAUUUUCUACUCACUUUUUCUGUACGUUCUGUACCAGUUAUGAUUUUGGUUCUGUAAUUCAGGCUUUACAUAUUCAGUACAUAUUUCGUACUGACCCCCUUUCUUCGGGGGCUGCGUUUUCAUGCCGCGCAGGUACCGACGACAGGUUUGCUGAUCCGUCCGUCUAGGAUAUCUUUUCUGCCAUUUGGAGCGCUCUUUUAUUCAGAGCCCAUCUUUUGGUACAGUCUGUCACUACUGUAUAUAUAUAUAUAUAUUCUCGUUCAUGGGUACGGCGGGGCCCUGUCCCGUUAUAUGAUUCCGUCGGUCUGUUUAGAGGUCUGUAGACAUGUUUGUGGGUUAGGGUCUUUCUGUACGGAUGCGUGUAUAUGUUGUGUUUGGGCGAUCUCAUUCGCCGCGGCGGCCGGUCCGCAUAUGUUUAAAUGUUGCUUUGUUGGCCCUGGGUGGUCAUUGUUGGUAUUAUCUGUGCGCAGGGUUAAUUUGGAUAGUCUGUAAAACAAAGGAAACUCUGCCGAAAUUUUUCUGGAAAUUAUCUAAAUAUUGAAAUAUAGCCUUGUCGGCUUCUGCUAUAUACUUGAAUGCGUUUGAUAAUAUUCGUUCUCAACUCUGUUUAAAAAUGAUGAUUUAGUUUGUAUGUCCGUUUGGGUGCCCAAGUAGGGCACCAGUCGCGGCCCACGGGGCUGGGUCGUGACAGAAGUGGUAUCAGAGCAGUUCGUCCUCGGAAUGUCUACAGACCGUGUCUAGUAGAGUCUUGUUUAUCGGUGUGUUGUGCACCACAUCUAUAAACAUGAGGCUACAGGACAUUUAGGGUGUUGCCUUUUUUUCAUAUCUAAGAUCGUGCGAUAGAGCCCAGUCAUAGGAAAUGAAAUUCUUUAUACUAACAUUUGAUUUCAACUGAAGAACGACAUCGACAGAAGAAAGUGAUUGAUGAUAUUGAAAGUUUCAAAGUACGCAGGUAAGCAAAGGUACGAAAGGUAUAAGUCGAGUAAGGUAUGGAAGUGCGAUUGAAAUGUAAAGUUGAAAAUUGAAAGAGAAAGUAUAACAGGUGCAGUUUGAGUUGGGCAUACGAGGUAUGUUCAUCACUUUUAUACUGUUGUUAAUAUUGGGAGCCCUGUGUGGCUAUGAUAUGAUAUGAUGUGUAUAUACGUAUAAAUGUUGUCCCUGUGAGGCAUUGUUGGUAUUUCCUGCGUGGAGGUUUUGGGAUAGUAAGAAGUACAGAGAAAACUCUGCCCAAAUUUUCCCAGAAAUAGAAAAAGAGAAUGAGACAUAGGUUUGUAAUAUGUUUUGAAAGGUUGUGUCAAUAGUAAGGAUAUGAUUUGACUAAUUUGCCAAUAUGGCUGACCUCGAGAAAUAAGUUGACUGCCGAAUCGAUGGUAAUAGUAAUUGGGAAGUCGAUAUCGAUAUGGUAAAAAGAAUAAUUUGGAAAGGGUUUAUGAUACUAAGAGAUGAUUUAGAAAAAGGCUGGAUAAUCUUGAUAAAGUGUUAUAGUAAGGUACCGACUGAAUUGAUAAGCAAGGAAAAAAAAUUAUGACGAGUUUAUAGUAAAAGAAGUAGUAGUAUGAUUAAGAUGAGAGUACAGAGGAAAAUGAAUUGUGACGGAUGCGAAUGUAUUGGUAAAACAGGCUGUGAGGUUGUGAAGGAUAAGAUUGACUAGGAACGGUGAAAGGUUAAGUAUGCUUAUACAACACUAAUGUAACAUUCGAGGACGAAUGUUCCUAAGGGGGGAAGAAUGUUACACUCCAUAAUAAUCUGUGCUACUUGUAUUAAAACAAGAAAGAAUGAGUUAAGAAGGUUCAAGGAAAGUUAAUCGAGUUAGUAAGAAUAUCGUUAUAUAUACAUGGUUUCCUUAAGUAUCCCAAGGCGACACGGUUACCUAAAGGGUGUGGAAUCGCGCUAUGAGUAUGUAUAUGAAGUAAUGCGAGUGACCUUUUAAAGUAUUUGAGAUUAUUAGUAAUGAUAUAGAGGGUGGACAAAAGAUAUGAAUAUACUUUUGCGAUUGGAGUUUCGUCAAAGCUUUGUGAGUUCUCUAGUUAUGUUUAAGGUUAUUGUGAGUCUCUGGACCCUUCAAGAUGUGUAUAUGGAUUUUUUUAUUGAUGUAUAUAAGUGUGUAUAUGUAUGCAUAAGAGGUUACAUAAGGUUGGAAGAGGAUUAGAAGUUAAACGAAAUGAAUCGGAACAACUUCAGUAAAAUUUCGGACCCGAUUUUAGUCUAUAUUGUAGGAGGCAUAUCUCCUUGAAUAUGAGGAGUUUUAAGGUGUUUCAAAAUCCUAAAAUGAAGUUCAUCGAGUCUAGUUUGUAAUGCAACAAACCGCUCGUCAAAAUGAUAUCGGGAUAAGGAGAUAUGGACGAUGCAAGUUGGGCUGGCAGGGCAGCAAGUUUGGACCCGACCCAAACACUCACAUUUCGGCCCAUGAGGCCCAUUAAACUCAAUAGAUAAGUCACCACUUUGCCCUAUAUCAUUUCACACGACCUAAAACAGAUCCAAAACCCUUAUUUUCUCUCCCAAACCCCCUUUCUAAUUGAGCCAUCAUAUAAGCUAAAUCCUAGACCCUUGACAUGAUAUUAGUUAAAGAGAAGUUGUAGCUUAAGUUUUUUUUUGUGUUGUUAAGCAAGCAGCUGGAAAGAGGAACAAGAUUCUUGAAGAUUCUGAUUGCUAAAGGAAACGUUGAUAUACAAGCUAGAGAGAGAGAGAGCAUAAGCCAUGGCAUUCGGCCAUGGCUAGCAAAAUUGGAGCUCAAAUUUGUUGAUCCAAAAAUCAGAUUUUCUAGGUAUUUCAUCCCUUAGGAAGGUGAUAAUAACGUGGAGAAUUCAUUUGGAGCAACAAGAACAAGUAUUAGUGCAUUUCACAAAUUCUAGCUAAGUGGAAAAAGCCAACUUGUUAAGGUAAGAGUUGAUCAUUUUUCUAUGUGUUUGAUGAUGAAGUUGGACGUGUGGGGAAUAUGCAAAUGUAAAUUGUAUGUGUGAAAUUAUGUAUCUUGAUGUUGAAGCAUAGUUGUAACUUGGUAACAUGAAUUGCACGAAUGUUGGAAUGUUGUUGAAAUGUUGUUGAAUGCCGUAGGGGCUGUUUUUAAUUGAAAUUUGAUGGACUGAUUUGAAUUAAUAUUUUGGUUGUUGUAAUCAUAGAUUAUGUGAUGAGAAUGAAGGAAUUUAAUGGUUAGAGUUGGAGUUAAAAUUGUUGUGGGUUGUUGUAAGGAUUAUAGAGAUAAUAAUGUGAUUUACUUGCAUAUGGAUAGAUGAUGUGGUGUCGUGUGGCUGCUGUUGUAUUUCCCUGAAAUUUGCUGAAAAGAUGGCAUGAAAUAAGUCGUAAGAAGUGUAUAUGGGCUGCUUGGUGUGUUGUAAGUGUUCGUUAGAAUUUCGGGCAUCGUUAUGUUAUAGUUUAGGGGCUGUUUUCGGCCCAAUUUGGAGAAAUUGUUGGAUCGUUGGAAAUAUUAUGUGAAUUGUUUAGAAUGUUCUUGAAUGUUGUUAGUAUGGGUUUGGGUUAGUAUUUGGAUGUAUAGGCGUUGAUGUUGGCUUGAAGGUAAGCCGUUGAAUUAAAUAUUUGGAAAGUUGUCGAAUGAUGAAAAAGAGAGUAUUAAUGUAAUAUUGUCUUUCGGAUUGGUUAUUGGAGUUGCUAGGUUGGUUAUUGUGGUUGUUGUUGUUGAUUUUGAGCGAGUUAAAUUCUCGGGAUGGCCUAUUUACAGGGGAAGUGCUGCCGAAUUUUCUGUAGAAUUUAAUGUUAGUUUGGAAUGAAUGGCUUAAGUGCCUAUGUUUAAUAUUGGAUAUUCGUUGGCAUAUUUGUAGACCUUGGGGAGCCCGAGGCGUAGAUUGGAAUUUACUUUAGAUUGGCUAUCUUGGAGUGCGUACGAGGUAUGUAAAGCGCAACCCUUCUUUCUUUUGGCAUGCCUUAGUUUUCAAUAGGCUAUAUCACGAGCCUCGAGGAAAUUCCAAAUUCGAAAUCCGAGCACGUUAUGAUCCUUAUAUAUAUUUCUUGGCAUUCUUAUGUAUGUUGUGAUGAAGUAUGAACAAUUAUGUCUUCGAAAGCAUUGAUUUCCAAACUUUGUACAAAAAGUUGUUUUAAAGAAUUCCGUAACUACGAAAUGCCAUAUCUUUUGCAUAAAGGCUCGGAUUGCUCCAAUAUUUUCAUAAGAGUUUGCAUGAUGUAUAAUGAGUAUGUUUUCCAUGAGCGGGCCCGAUUCGGGUCGAUACCCGUUCGUGGGUCCCGCGACUUUUCUUUAUGUAAUUCGGACGACUUUUGAAAGAAUUUGGUAUGAUUAUCAUUUCGAAUUUCAAAUAUGAUCAUUUUACUUAUGUUUGAAUUUAUGAUAAUGAUUUUAUGCAUAUGACUACUCUAUUAACUACUAAACAAAAAUUGUUUUAAAUAGUUCAUUAAGUCUUAUAAAUUGUUUUGGCCCUCGGAACGACUUCAGAAAGGUAUGCUUCUGUAAUUCAUUAUGACAUCCGAAACUCACUUAUUAUGAUCCCGUCUGACUUCAUUGAAUUGGUUUGCCAUUGAUAUGCCUCAUCGAGUCUCUGAAAAUAUUUAUGAUAUUUUAACUGCAUUUAGUUUCUCACUACUCUAUUCGUGGAUGCCCCAAUGUUUCCCACACUGAGCCCGGGCCAGGAUAUGUUGUCAAGCGUAAUCCUCUGCAUUGUUCGCCGUGCCUCGAUGUGAGGGGGCAGGUAUACGUGUACAUGGGUUUGUGGAGUAUGCUGUGCCAUGUACACAUGUUCUGAUAUGAUUUGCCAUGGCCAUCUGAUAUGAUAUACUAUGUUACGGGGUUAUGCCCCUAUUCUGAUUCUUCUGUGUUGUGGCACCAGCGUCGGGAGGGUGGCCACGUUCUGUUUGCCGAGUCCCUUGGCAGGGGCCGGAUUUGAUAUGACAUAUGUUUCUGUACACACUCCGCAUGUUUUGAAGAUAUGUAUUUGAUACUUUGGAUUUUCUACUCACUUUUUCUGUACGUUCUGUACCAGUUAUGAUUUUGGUUCUGUAAUUCAGGCUUUACAUAUUCAGUACAUAUUUCGUACUGACCCCCUUUCUUCGGGGGCUGCGUUUUCAUGCCGCGCAGGUACCGACGACAGGUUUGCUGAUCCGUCCGUCUAGGAUAUCUUUUCUGCCAUUUGGAGCGCUCUUUUAUUCAGAGCCCAUCUUUUGGUACAGUCUGUCACUACUGUAUAUAUAUAUAUAUAUUCUCGUUCAUGGGUACGGCGGGGCCCUGUCCCGUUAUAUGAUUCCGUCGGUCUGUUUAGAGGUCUGUAGACAUGUUUGUGGGUUAGGGUCUUUCUGUACGGAUGCGUGUAUAUGUUGUGUUUGGGCGAUCUCAUUCGCCGCGGCGGCCGGUCCGCAUAUGUUUAAAUGUUGCUUUGUUGGCCCUGGGUGGUCAUUGUUGGUAUUAUCUGUGCGCAGGGUUAAUUUGGAUAGUCUGUAAAACAAAGGAAACUCUGCCGAAAUUUUUCUGGAAAUUAUCUAAAUAUUGAAAUAUAGCCUUGUCGGCUUCUGCUA